CCGAGUUCUAAACUCACAACCCACUGUGAACAUACCUACGUUGCUUCGGCGGUACAGACGCCUUACACGGCCGCGCCCGCCGAAGGACCCCUAACUCUGUUUUAUAGUGAUUUACUCUGAGUAAAUCUAGCAAAUAAAUUA
rnacentral:misc_RNA from 1 species